rnacentral:rRNA from 1 species
UACGAAGGGGGCUAGCGUUGCUCGGAAUUACUGGGCGUAAAGGGCGCGCAGGCGGUUCCUCAAGUCAGGCGUGAAAGCCCCGGGCUCAACCUGGGAACUGCGCUUGAGACUGCGGGACUGGAGUCCGGAAGAGGAGAGUGGAAUUCCUGGUGUAGCGGUGAAAUGCGCAGAUAUCAGGAAGAACACCCGUGGCGAAGGCGGCUCUCUGGGACGGUACUGACGCUGAGACGCGAAAGCGUGGGGAGCGAACAGG